ACAUGAAGUUAGGUAAGCAAACCCGCUGAAUUUAAGCAUAUAAGUAAGCGGAGGAUAAGAAACUAAAUAGGAUUCCCUCAGUAAUGGCGAAUGAACAGGGAUAAGCUCAGCAUGGAAAUUGGGGCCUCCGGCCUUGAAUUGUAGUCUUGAGAUGUGUUACCAACGGAGGCGCAGAUGUAAGCCUCUUGGAAAAGAGCGUCAGGGAGGGUGAGAGUCCCGUAUGUCAUCUGCAGUUCUCUGUGCACGGUACAUUUUCUAAGAGUCACGUUCCUCGGGAUUGGAGCGCAAAUUGGGUGGUAAAUUUCAUCUAAAGCUAAAUAUUGGUUCGAGACCGAUAGCAAACAAGUACCAUGAGGGAAAGGUGAAAAGGACUUUGAAAAGAGAGUUAAAAGUGCCUGAAAUUGCUGAAAGGGAAGCGAAUGGAACCAGUUGUUCUUGGCGAGUAUUGGUGUUGUCUAAGGUGAUAGCUUGCCACUUCAACGCAAGUGUGGUGGCAGGUUUUGAUCUGGAUGCGAUACUGCUUCUCGCCUUGCGUGUCAACGUCAGUUCAUAAUUGAGGAAAACUCUAGGGACAUGGUAAUUUGCUUCCGGGCGACUGAAUGUCCCCAGUUGAACUCAUUUUUGAACUGCUCACUGUGUGUCUGGUCGCACUGCUCCGUGUGCUUGCUUGCAAUCUUCUGCUUGGCAUGAAGGUUGCUAGUGCCAGGAGCAUGUCCUUGACAUAAGAACGAUGACGAAAUGGUUUUAUUCGACCCGUCUGGAAACACGGACCAAGGAGUCUAACAUAUGUGCAAGUUCACGGGCGGGAAAACCUGCUUGCGCAAUGAAAGUGACUGCUGGGAUAUCUGCACCAGCAACCGACCAAUCAAUUGUGAGAGGUUUGAGUAUGAGCAUAUCUGUUAGGACCCGAAAGAUGGUGAACUAUGCUUGAGAAGGGUGAAGUCAGGGGAAACUCUGAUGGAGGCUCGUAGCGAUACUGACGUGCAAAUCGUUCGUCAUACUUGGGUAUAGGGGCGAAAGACUAAUCGAACCAUCUAGUAGCUGGUUCCCUCCGAAGUUUCCCUCAGGAUAGCUGGAGUUGAACAGUUUUAUCAGGUAAAGCGAAUGAUUAGAGGAAUCGGGGACGCUUUGUCCUCGACCUAUUCUCAAACUUUAAAUGGGCAAGACACAAUUCUGCAUUGCGAGUAUUGUGGCGAAAUGAAGUCUUCGUGUGGGCCAUUUUUGGUAAGCAGAACUGGCGAUGAGGGAUGAACCUAUUGUCGAGCUACUGUGUUUCACACCAUGAGCAUCAGAUGCCAGAAAGGGUGUUGGUUCAUCUUAACAGCAGGACAGUGGUCAUGGAAGUCGAAAUCUGCUAAGGAGUGUGUAACAACUCACCUGCCGAAUGAAGCAGCCCCGAAAAUGGAUGACGCUUUUUCAUGAGAAGUAUGCUGGACCAUAUCGCGAAACAUUACGUGCGGUAUGAGUAGGAGGGUGUCUAUUGCAUAGUUAAGGUUAUGAUUGAUCACAACUGGAGUGCAAUUGGGUACAGAUCUUGGUGAUAGUAGCAACUAUUCACAACACCAUUGUGAAUGCUUAUGCAGAGAAAGGUUCCAUGUGAACAGAAAUUGGACAUGGGUUAAUCGAUCCUAAGCAGAAUGAAAGAUCACAUUAUAGUUUAAUCACACUGCAACAGGGAAAUGUAUCGUGUUUACCAUAUCUGGUCUGCCAUUGCACCUGGUAACGGAGGGUGUGUCAGGUACGUCAUUGUGUGGGAUGUGAGGUGUUGUCUUUACUUCUUAACUGUGGGUAAGCCUGGAAGUGUGCCAAACAGAGAUAGGUGCUUCGCACAGAAAGUAGACCCCGCAUUACGGUGUUUGCGAUCUUCACACAAUGACGCCUCAAAAUCUGACGCGCCAUAUGCAGUGCAGCAGGUUGUACUAAUAUCCGCAUCAGGUCUCUAAGGUGAGUAGCCUCUGGUACGUAGAUUCAUGUGAGUAAGGGAAGUCGG
rnacentral:rRNA from 1 species